rnacentral:rRNA from 1 species
GACAGAGGGUGCAAGCGUUGUUCGGAAUCAUUGGGCGUAAAGGGCGCGUAGGCGGUUUUGAAAGUCGGAUGUGAAAGCCCAGGGCUCAACCGUGGAAGUGCAUCCGAAACUGCAAAACUUGAGUCCCGGAGAGGGUGGUGGAAUUCCCAGUGUAGAGGUGAAAUUCGUAGAUAUUGGGAGGAACACCGGUGGCGAAGGCGACCGCCUGGACGGAGACUGACGCUGAGGCGCGAGAGCGUGGGGAGCAAACAGG